CAGUCGCCGCGGGAAUACGAAGGGGGCUAGCGUUGUUCGGAAUUACUGGGCGUAAAGCGCACGUAGGCGGAUAUUUAAGUCAGGGGUGAAAUCCCAGAGCUCAACUCUGGAACUGCCUUUGAUACUGGGUAUCUUGAGUAUGGAAGAGGUGAGUGGAAUUCCGAGUGUAGAGGUGAAAUUCGUAGAUAUUCGGAGGAACACCAGUGGCGAAGGCGGCUCACUGGUCCAUUACUGACGCUGAGGUGCGAAAGCGUGGGAAGUAAACAGGAUUAGAUACCCGUGUAGUCCCUGUCUCUUAUAA
rnacentral:rRNA from 1 species